rnacentral:rRNA from 1 species
CAUUCACGGAGAGUUUGAUCCUGGCUCAGGACGAACGCUGGCGGCGUGCUUAACACAUGCAAGUCGAACGAUGAAGCCGCUUCGGUGGUGGAUUAGUGGCGAACGGGUGAGUAACACGUGGGCAAUCUGCCCUGCACUCUGGGACAAGCCCUGGAAACGGGGUCUAAUACCGGAUAUGACACGGGAUCGCAUGGUCUCCGUGUGGAAAGCUCCGGCGGUGCAGGAUGAGCCCGCGGCCUAUCAGCUUGUUGGUGGGGUGAUGGCCUA